GGUGUUUUUAGAUACUUAAAAGCAGACUCCUUUGGGAGAAGAAAACAGGAAAAUCCUAUUUUCAAUGAAAACAUCAGAGCUAGUGGCAGUGCUCGAAAAAAGAGAUUCGACGUUUAAAGUACCUUCACAAUUAAAGCUAACGAAAGACUGUAGCAAGUGUAAAUGUUUUGAGAAAGCGUCUGGUUCCUCGGUGGAACGAAUUUGGGGGAUAAGUUAGAAGAAAAUCUCCUCUUGCAGAACGAGGAAACUAUGCAGAUAAGGGGCAGAAAGCUCUCUCGAAAGAGGGAUCUCCUCCGGUUACCAGCCAUCUGUGAGGUGGAGAGGGAGCGCCAGGCCUGGCAGGCUCAGCCUAGACAGGUGUCUCAGCCACCUGGCCUCCCUGGGGAGAGCAGGAAGGCAGCAUUGCACUGGUGAAUCUCUUAAACAGCAAACAACAAUAUCUGCAAAAUGGACCUGAGAGUCGGAGGGGUUUGGGCCAACAAACGAAUGGAGGCUCCCAAGACAAAUUUCCUCCACACACCUAGGUGCCAGGUUUGAAAUUAUGGGGCAAUGCAGGUGUUUUUCCACAGAAAUGUGAUUCUUUAAAAAUCAUAUUCCAGAAUAAUGAUGCUUAAGACUGUGGAUUCGCUCAUACGUAGACUUUCUGUACUCCGUACCAGGACUGAGGAAUUUCAGUUCCUUGAGGGAAACAAGAGGCUGCGGAAGUUCUUGUUGGCACCAGCAGACUCUACAGGCAAGUCUCUGGGGCUUGUCUCCGCAAAGGGAUCGAUGUGAGGGCCUCUCCAUCCUGAGGGGGACUGCGCUGCUCUGUCCCUUCUCUGCGACAAUAAAGUGUGGUCCCCUCCUCUCUCCAGUGGUGCCCCCAGCUUUUCCCUCUGCUCAGAAAUCCUAGGUCUUCACUGCUGGCUCUCCUGGCAUUUCUUCAGGAACAGAGAAGGUCUCAGUGGACACUUACUACCAGCAGGUGACGUUAGUUUGGAAGAGUGACUUAUACACAUGAAAUGACACAGCGCGAGGUGGAAGGACAAACAGACUUGUCACUGGUGACAUCAGCCAGUUAUACGACUGUGCAAUGGGAAAACUGCUCUGAACCACAUGCUCAGUAGGAACCCAGGAUGUAUUUAUAAGAACAGAGAAGAAACUGUGGUGUCUUUUUGAUUCUGAAGACUGCUUUUAUAUGGUAUAUUUUCCAAAUUAAAAAUAUUUUGAACAUUCCUUUAGGAUGCCAUCAGAGGAGUCACUUGUGGUGGGUUAAUUAAAUCUAACACAUUUAAAAAUAACUCUGCAUGUUGUGGGACAGAUGCAGCCUUUGGAAAAAGAAAGAGCUUACACUGAACAUUGCAACAGAUUUUUGUUAUUUAAUAGUAGGCAAAAGACACGUUUACAGAAUAUGUUUUCAAAGCCUGGUUGGGAAGUAGCAGCUCUGCUGACAGGGGGAGAAAUCAGUAAAUCCAUAUUUAAAGAGAAGGAGAGCACGAAGUUAAGUACCCCUUUGCAUGAUAUCCUUUGAUUUUAACUGGAAGAAUGAAUGAACUGCUCCAAAAUCCUUUCCCAAAUGCCAAGGUGAAGACUAGGAUGGAAAAUUUGUCCUUCUCUAAGAACAAAUGGUCAGGUAGACACUUGCAAGAGGCGAUUUUGGAAAUUCAGAAGGAUGCCCCAAUCUCUAAGAAAUGGAAGAGAAAGAGCUAGAGAGAACUGAAUUGCUCUACCCAAGAAAAAGGAAAUGAUUGUUCUUUUUUACUCUUGAGGAUGAGAAAGCAGAAGAUAUGGGGGAAGAGGAGAGAGACUAGGUCAAGAAAGAAGGUAAAGCAGCCAAAAGACAAUUUUAAGAACGGAGAUUUCUAAAACACAUCCCUAACUCUGCUGUAAAACCUCCCUUCCUUCAGUGAAGACAACUACUCCACGUGAAGUCUGCAAAUACCCAUGAAGAGUUUAGUUAAGUGGAUCUUUCUGGGCAGGCAUGAAAGAAAGCGGAACUACAUUUUGGUUGUUGCCAAAGGAGAGUUAAAGAAACUCCCAAGAAACCAAAUGGAAUACAAGAUUUGAUGGCUGCAUGAAACUGGCAAGAAAGGCAAACAAGAACUUAAUCCUCUCUCCACCAAAAAGGAUUUGAAGAAAUGUGGGGCACUGGUUUUUCCCCAGAGCAAAGAGUAAUUCUUCAGUCUAAAGAAGUUUUGUUUGUAUUUUCUUUUUGUUUUCAGGGCCACACCUGCAGCAUA